rnacentral:lncRNA from 1 species
CUAAUUACAUGCAAUAUUUAAUUACAUGCACCAUAUUAAGAUUCUAUUUUAUAACUUUAACCACUUUCCUCCUCCAUUAAUCUUCCACUCCCUCUCUUUUGUAAUUCUUUUACAUGCACCACUCUCAUCCUCCAUUAAUUAAUCUCCUACCCCCUCUCUUUUGUAACUCUUUUACAUGCACCAUAAAAAAAUAUCAUCGUCUAAUCUCCUACUGCGCACUCAUCUCCCUCUUUCUCUCAUUGUGUUAACAAAGAAGAAGAAGAAGAAGAAGAAGAGCCUCUGAAGAACAUUGUCUCCUUCAAGAAGCAUCGUCCAGCGAAGCCGAGCCGCGACCUAUAUAAGUGCUCGCUGAGUCGGUCCGCACGGGGGCCUCUACUUACUAUGUAAAUUUAGUCAUACAAAUUAACUGUACUUAAUAUGUUAUAGCUUUCUAUAUAUCAAUAAAUCGUAAAUAUAAAAUUUAUUAAAAUUUUUAAAUUUUACUUCUAUUAUCUACCCGCUGCAUCGCGCGGGUCUCU